rnacentral:pre_miRNA from 1 species
UCUUAUGGAUGAGCAAAGAAAGUGGCUUCUUGAGAUGGAAUCUACCCCUGGUGAAGAUGCUGUAAA